UACGGGGGGGGCAAGCGUUGUUCGGAAUUACUGGGCGUAAAGGGCUCGUAGGUGGCCAACUAAGUCAGACGUGAAAUCCCCAGGCUCAACUUGGGAACUGCGUCUGAUACUGGAUGGCUUGAAUUCGGGAGAGGGAUGCAGAAUUCCAGGUGUAGCGGUGAAAUGCGUAGAUAUCUGGAGGAAUACCGGUGGCGAAGGCGGCAUCCUGGACCGAGAUUGACGCUGAGGAGCGAAAGCCAGGGGAGCAAACGGG
rnacentral:rRNA from 1 species